UACGUAGGGUGCGAGCGUUGUCCGGAAUUAUUGGGCGUAAAGAGCUUGUAGGCGGUUUGUCGCGUCUGCUGUGAAAUUUCGGGGCUCAACCCCGAACUUGCAGUGGGUACGGGCAGACUAGAGUGUGGUAGGGGAGAACGGAAUUCCCGGUGUAGCGGUGAAAUGCGCAGAUAUCAGGAGGAACACCGGUGGCGAAGGCGGGUCUCUGGGCCGAUACUGACGCUGAGGAGCGAAAGCGUGGGGAGCAAACAGG
rnacentral:rRNA from 1 species